GGAAAUGAGUAAAUAUGUUUUGAACCCCUGCUCGUAAAUUUUGAGAACCCAAUCUUUUUUUUUUUAAAGGAGAGAUUUGUAACACCCAGCUAGCACAAUGUUUUCUUCAGCCCAAUCCAAAAGACCUAAGCCCAUAGGCCUAGCCCCAAGCCUGAAUGACCUCCCUUUUCUCUUCUGACCUGUAACACAACAAGGGGGGAGGAUGAGUUUAGUAUAAAGAGAGGAGAGGAAACUUGAGGGAGAAUGAGAGUGGUGACCUAGAGAGAAAAAGAGAGAGGGAAUAGUGAUAUCGAAAGAAGCUAAGGGGAGGGUGAACAAUAAGUGAACUUACCAGAGCAACAUCAUUGAUGCGGGGGUGUAGGGAGAGGAAGGAGAGACUGUGUUGAAUCAUCAUUAUACAUAUCCGAGAAGCAAGUACCAUUUGCUCUUCAUUGCUCAAAUAGAAAUUUACAUUAUAAGUUCUUUGUGAUUUCUUCUUUUUGUGUUUGGGUGGUAUAGAACUGAUUCAGGAGGAGGAUCUAGGAGGCAAAGAUAGUUAUGUUAAAGUUCCUAAUAAUAAUAGAGAAGAACGAAAAGAGAGACAGAGUAAAAGUUUGUGGGAAGGAGCUCAAAACUGGGAGGUCUUUACUGGAUUGGUUUAAAGAGGUUCUGAACUAAGGGAAUGGAGAAAAUUCUGUGAUUAAUUAAGCUUGGACAGAGAGAGGAAAAAAUGGCUAACCGAACUAAUUAAGAGAAGAGAGGGGGAAGAGGAAAAUUGAAAUGUGUGUCGAUUUAUAUAUAUAUGUAUUUUCUUGGUGAAUAUUUUUUAAAAAAUGCAUGGUGACCCUCAUACGUUUAAUGCUUGGGGAUUUACACAUUUGCUUUACUAUAGUAUAUUCAUUGUGUUCAUGUGCUUGUUGUGCUUGGAAUAUGCUAAAAUUACAAUACAGUAGGCCCAGUUAUUUGGUUGAGGGGUCGAUGCCCUGAGUGUGUGUGAUUGGCAUUGAUAUGUCGUUGGUGGGAAAUUGUAAUAUUUACCAUUCUGUGAUCCAAAUUUGAAGGAAUAUAGGAUUCUAUUAUGGCCUAGUGGUUGGGUCGAGGGUUCGAUGCGUCAGGUGUGUGUGAUUGGCAUUGACAUGCAAUUGGUGGGCAAUUGUAAUAUUUGCGGUUCUAUGAUCUGGAGGUGAAGGAAUAUGGGAUUCUAUUGUGGCCCAGUGGCUGGGUCGAGGGUUUGAUGACCCAAGAACUAAUUAUUUAUCUAUAUUUUUUUCCUUCUUUCUUCUUCGUUUUAGUUACUUUUCUCUUUUCUUUUAUGUUUGCAAUCUUGGUACAUCUAAUGGCUAUAACUGUGGAAUGGGUGAAUAUCCAGUGGCUUAAGCACCAAGGAAAUGUUGUAAAUAUGUCAAGAGGGAAGCUGGAUUGAUGGUAAUUAGCGUUAGGGGUAGAAAUUAGGAUAGGGGAUGUGGGAAAUAAAAUAAAUCAGGGGAAGAGGGGGGAAAUACGGGCUGAACUGAAGAGAAAAACGUAGGGAGUUUGGUGAGGGUGUUCUUAAUAAUUUGAGAGGCGUUGGUGCUCCAUUAGGCAAAUUUAAGAAGUUGAGGAGAGGUUUACGGUGGGAGUUAGACUAAGAUACUGGGCAAAUUAUGGUUAAAGGAAAAUAGACCUGCUAGGGGUAGACUAAGUUGGGAAGAAUUAGGGACAGGCAAAUGGAGGUAUAUGGUUGUGAAUAGAUGACUUUUUAGGAGGGAAAUUAGGAGUAAGCAGAGCAAAAACUUGUUGUAAUGGGUUAGGGUUUGCUAUGCUGAAUGCAGAGACUACAUAUAUGACCAAUGAUAGUGAGAGAAAGGAAGGGAAAUGGUUAAGUUGGAUAAUGCCCAGUACCGGGAAGUUAGAUGUAAAUUUUUUACUUGUUUUGAUGUGAAUUUUAAAUUUUACUUACUGGGCUAUAUAGCUCAUUACAUGUUAUAUAUUACAGAGCAGAUAAAACAAGAGUAAGAAUCGGAUGUACAAGAAGCGUGUGUUCAAACUUUGGAAUAAGUAAGGCGUACCAUAGAGCAAUUAUCGUUGAUUUAGAGCAUGGUAUGAGAUUGUUUUGAUAUCAUUACACAUAUACAUGUCUCAUUUAGAUGGAAUUACUUAUACUUCCAUUAUUAACACUUGAUAAUCUAGUUUGGCAUUGUAAAUGAGGUAAAUGAGAAUUAGUAUACAUGAGUAUAUAU
rnacentral:lncRNA from 1 species